CAGCGCCACGAGCGGGAACCGUCUUUAUUUGGCCUAAAGCGUCCGUAGCAGGUCCUGUAAAUCUUUUGUGAAAUCGUUAAGCUCAACUUAACGGCGUGCAGAAGACACUGCAAGACUUGAAACCGGGAGGAGUCAGAGGUAUUCAUGGGGGAGCGGUAAAAUGCUAUAAUCCUUUGAAGACCACCUGUGGCGAAGGCGUCUGACUAGAACGGAUUUGACUGUGAGGGACGAAAGCCAGGGGAGCGAACCGGAUUAGAGACCCGAGUAGUCC
rnacentral:rRNA from 1 species